rfam:Triticum aestivum genome assembly, contig: Triticum_aestivum_CS42_TGACv1_scaffold_343087_4DL
UAUCUACUCCCUCCGUCCGAAAAUACUUGUCAUCAAAAUUGAUAAAAAGGAUGUCUCUAGAACUAAAAUACGUCUAGAUACAUCCUCUUUUAUCCAUUUUGAUGACAAGUAUUUCCGGACGGAGGGAGUAUAAA